GAGCUGCAAGGGGGCUCAACACUCAAGUGUGUGAGAGAUGAAGAGUCUGCAUGAGGACAUGGCUGCAACACUGCUGGCUGUAAUGCUUAUGAUCCCCUACAUCUGCGACGGAGGUGAGAUGUUUUUUUGACAGCAUGACUGAUAGCGAAAGGGCAACCUUGCGACUAUUAUCUGAGAAAUGAAUGCAUCUGUGUCGCCUGUUUAUGUGAUAGCGCUGCUGAGAAAAUCAACAGCGAUGGACUUCCUUCAAAAAACAAGAGUGAAGCGUGAAUCUGAGUGUUUUCCUGGAGGCUGCAGCACAGAGGCCAGCGAGAGUGAACUGAUGGAAACAGAAGAUGUAGGAUAUGAGGAGAAUUCCAGCCUGCUGUAUAAUGGAGGUGCCGCUCAGGAAGGAAUAAACUAUGUAAGUUUGAUUUUCAGUUUUAACUUCAUUAUGCUGUUUUUAAUAGAUAAAUAAAAGUUAUAUUACAUAAGACGUUUAUGAAUAAAGGCAUUACAACUAAGCCUAAAAGCACUUUUGUCUUGCAGCAGAGCCCUGGAGGGGGAGCUGUGGCGGAUGAAGGAUCUGGGAUGUAGCCAAGAGGAAGAGCGCAACACGGCUGUGUUGUUGUUGGGUCGAGGGAAGUUCAGCUUUCCCAAAAGCAUCCUGAUACAAAGGGCAACUUUGAUUGUAUAUCAGUCAGAAACAUCAUAACUAGCUAUACACUAUAAAUAUAAAAUAUAAAGUUUAAUCACUUACUCAAACCUUUGAACAAAAGGUUUAUAAAAUGAACAUGAUUUGUUUCAAGGAUUAAUUUGCAUGCUUAAUUUACUUUUGUUUAAGUUAAAAUAAUGGUGAUAAGAACAUUUUUUAUUUGUUACCUCCAGUUGUUACUGUUUUAGUACGAUACUGUUACUUGUUACAGCUCAGUAUGUGUCUUGAGUGAGCUGAGUUGGAAAUACAAAAAAGUAGGUAUCCAGUAUGUUAGAAAUUUGAAUUGAGAAUAUUGUGUAAACACUGUUUCAAUAAACAUACAAUAUCAUAGUUUGGUAGAGUAUUAUAACUAACAUUUAAAUGUAUUUGACCAACCAUGAAGCUUAUGUGCAUGUUAAGUGCAAAUGUACCUUUCUCAGCAGGAAGCUUUAUAUGAACAUUUUAAUAAAUUAAAUGUAUAUUAUAUGCAUGUUUGCUUUUAUUAUUAUUAUUUUUAUUAAAGGUUGUAACAUGAAGGGCCUUAAUAACUUGCUAAUGUUGUCACAGGGUGUACACAAUUAAUCAAUUAGCUCUUGGGAGUUUAGGAUUUUUUCGACAAACUUGUGUGUAGUCCUCUCUUCUGCAAUUUGGACCUGUUGGUCUUCUAUGCUUUCUUAUAGUUUGUUGUGUUGGUAUUCUUUUUUAUUUUACUGGUUAAAACAAUCCAGGGGAUUAGAAUUUACCUCCUGAUUAAUCCCCUUAACUAUUCACACUCUGCCAGGAAAAAUGGCACAGCUCGUGUGCUGACCUGUAGCCUGUAGCAUUUAAUUAACAUUUGUGAACUCUGGAUUUUCUCGGAAACAAUAAAUAUCAUUGUCUCUGUGUAGUUUCUAUUUAUAAAGCAGAGGAAUGCACACACUCAAGAAAAGAU
rnacentral:lncRNA from 1 species